AGAGUUUGAUCCUGGCUCAGAACGAACGUUGGCGGCGUGGAUUAGGCAUGCAAGUCGUACGAGUUCCAUUUGGGCAACUGGAUGGAAAAAGUGGCGAAAGGGGCAGUAAGGCAUGGAUAAUCUACCCUGAUGACCGGGAUAGCUGUCCCAACGGGCAGGUAAUACCGGAUGAGCUGGCGGUGCCGCAUGGUACUGCCAGGAAAGGCGCAAGCCGUGUCGGGAGGAAUCCAUGUGAUAUUAGCUAGUUGGCGGGGUAACGGCCCACCAAGGCGAAGAUGUCUAGCGGGUGUGAGAGCACGACCCGCGCCAUUGGCACUGAGACACUGGCCAGACUCCUACGGGAGGCUGCAGUCGAGGAUCUUCGGCAAUGGGCGCAAGCCUGACCGAGCGACGCCGCGUGAGCGAUGAAGGCCAUUAGGUUGUAAAGCUCUGUCGAGGGGGAGCAAGCCGCAAGGUUGAGCGAUCCCUGGAGGAAGCACGGGCUAAGUUCGUGCCAGCAGCCGCGGUAAGACGAACCGUGCGAACGUUGUUCGGAAUCAUUGGGCUUAAAGGGCGCGUAGGCGGGUGUUCAAGUCCGGNGUGAAAUCCUNCAG
rnacentral:rRNA from 1 species